rnacentral:lncRNA from 1 species
CAGGCUUGCUGGGAGAGGGGCACAUUGGAGGAAGGAAACCUCAGACCUUUCAUCCUCAGGCUGGAGCAGGCUGAGCAGAAGGCUGGCCCGGGGCUCUGGGUUCCUCCCAGUCCUCUCCCCGUGGAGAGGGGCAGGCUGGGCUGGCGUGGGGGCAGACAGCUGGGCCCAGAGAUCCUGUGGUUGGGCAGGCCAGCCUGUUAGGCAGGAGGUUGAAGCGGAGCCUUGAGGGGGAGCAGGCCCCCUCCAGUGAGGGUGAUGCCCGGAGUCAGGAGAGGGUGUGCAGAAACAGACAGUGACCAGGGAGACACCCAAAUCUCUUUUACUGGGGAGGAUGGGGCCCUGGGGGAUGGGUCCAGGGGCCCUCCCCCUGCACGGCUCUAUGCUGUAUGCAUAUCUCAUCAUCAUAUCUUAAAGGGGGUCCUCCGUCAGGUAAGCCAUUGUUGCUGAGAGUUAUUUAAUAAAGGAGCGUGGUGGGGGGUCCACUUUACAGUCAGGGAGAGCCUGUCUGCUGCUUGGUGUCCCUGCCUUCCUACCCACCAUAAGUCCGAGCCUGCUGACGCACGGCUGCAUUUAAUGUCCAAUUGUCCAAGCUACGUGCAGAAGUGAUGUGAAAUAGCAAAGAUCAGACACACAUUCAAUGAACAAAAUGGUGAUUUCCGAUUGUUUUUUUCUUGUGAUGCACAUGGUGGCUUUAAAGUUGAGUGAUUUAUCUAAGGCCAAAGAACAAAGUUUUUUGAAAAUAUCUUAAUUUAUUUCUGAUAAUUAAAAAAUACAGGCGGGGGAAGGGGCGGGUUAGGGGCCGGGCUCUGCGCUCACACCGGCCAGCCGCCCCCAGGAUGUGAUCCUCAUGAUCCGAUGCCGCCACGACCACCAUCUUCGUGGACACCAGGGAGUCAGCACCGUGUUCUUGCUAAAGUGCAUCAUCGAGGGCAAUGAAAGAAAGGACAUCCAAGUGUACACACCACUGCAUGUGCGUGCUGAUUUUACAGUGCCACUUUCCAUCAUUUGACGUGUUCCUCACCCUCAUGACACAGGACUCUGGAUUUCUUUAUAAUAAUCAGGCUGGGGUCUCUAUCAAGGGGCUCCACCCACUUCCACCCGCCAGUGAAUGACAACAGGUUGUCUGAACCAUCACUACCAACUGUCACAGACUGCAGUGAUUGCAAGUGAGAUUUGUAAACUGAGAACACAGAGGCAGCACGAAUACCCUCAGGCCUGACCUCACUCAGCUGAUUUCACCACAAACAAAUCAAGAGAUGCAACUCCAAGUAAGUAAAAAGGGAGAGUUACUUAUCAGCUUAUCUAAUUGGAGUGGAAAAGGGUGGAUCCAGGGACUCAAAGUACAUCAGCUGGACGAUUUCUUGAUUUGCCAUCUCAGCUUCUCUCUUGGUGUUGAUCUCAUUCUGUCUUUCUCCAAGAAACUCCCUCCAGCGGGCAGGACACAGAAAAGGGAAACUGACAGCAGGCAGUUCCAGACUUCCAUCCUUCCAGCUCAGUCAGGCUCCAAGAGGAGAGAAAGGGAGAUUCACUAACACCAUCAGCACCUUUAAUCUCAUGGAAGGAUUCUAAUGAAACCAACUAGAGUCUCCUCCUGUCCACCAUACGGACCAAUCAUUAAGGCCAGAGACUAGGCCAAGCUUGGGCCACACGCCCAUGUCUGCAGUGGGGCAUGAGGCAAAGUCCAGGGACUGGUGGCCUCAUCAGAACCAAUGACACAGGCAUGGAGGAGCAAUUCUCUAAAGGAAGAAAGCGUGCUAUCAUCUGAGGCAGAAGGAAGAAAGCCUGAGGAGAGAAAGGAAACAUAACCCCAGUCUAAUCGUGAGAAAGACAACGGCAAACCCAAAUUAAAGGACAUGCGACGAAACACCUAACCAGUACUCCUCAAAACUUCAAGGUCACGAAGAAGAAAGAAAGAAUAAGAAACUGUCAUAGGCCAGAGAAGACUAAGGAGAGUUAAUGAGCAAACACACUGGGGUCUCCUGGAUUAGACCCUGGGACAGAAAAAGCACAUUAGUGGAAGAACUAUUGAAAUCUCAACAAAGUCUGGAAUUUAGUUAAUAGUGGUUCACCAGUGUUGGUUUCUUAGUUUUGACAUGAG